rfam:Aedes albopictus isolate Foshan contig13796, whole genome shotgun sequence.
UGCCCAGCAACUCCUAUCCCUACCUCCACGCGGUACCGGCCGGAAACUAUGAGCAACCUUAGGGAAGAUCGGGUAACCAACCCCGUCGGGAACUUUGGUCAUAGGCUGACAGGGAAGG